GAUGAACGCUGGCGGCGUGCCUAAUACAUGCAAGUCGAGCGAACGGACGAGAAGCUUGCGUCUCUGAUGUUAGCGGCGGACGGGUGAGUAACACGGGGAUAACCUACCUAUAAGACUGGGAUAACUUCGGGAAACCGGAGCUAAUACCGGAUGAUAUUUUGAACCGCAUGGUUCAAAAGUGAAAGAAGGUAUUGCUGUCACUUAUAGAUGGAUCCGCGCUGCAUUAGCUAGUUGGUAAGGUAACGGCUUACCAAGGCAACGAUGCAUAGCCGACCUGAGAGGGUGAACGGCCACACUGGAACUGAGACACGGUCCAGACUCCUACGGGAGGCAGCAGUAGGGAAUCUUCCGCAAUGGGCGAAAGCCUGACGGAGCAACGCCGCGUGAGUGAUGAAGCUCUUCGGAUCGUAAAACUCUGUUAUUAGGGAAGAACAUAUGUGUAAGUAACUGUGCACAUCUUGACGGUACCUAAUCAGAAAGCCACGGCUAACUCCGUG
rnacentral:rRNA from 1 species